rnacentral:rRNA from 1 species
AUGACCGCGCUUUCCAAGUUCGCCAAGGCGACCAUGGACAGGGUCACUGGCCGGGACAAGGACGCGCCACCCGCCGCUCACACCCCUCCCCCGCAGGCCGCCAAGACUCCUGCGCAGCCCGAGGAGCCCGAUCAGCGCGGCCGCAUCGCCAAGAUCGUCGCCAUGCUCCCGCCGCCGGGGUCGGAUCCUGUGCCAAUCGGGCCACCCGAGUCGCCGCCAAGGAUCCAGAGCCAUGUACUGGAGCAUGCGCCGGCCGUCAUCACGCCACCGCCGCCGCCGCCGCCGCCGGAGCACGCGCCGGCCGUCAUCACGCCGCCGCCGGAGCAUGCGCCGGCCGUCAUCCAGCCGCCGCCGCCGCCAAGGGCCACGGGCCAGGGCCAGGAGCAAGCGCCCGCUGGCGUCGGGUACGCGAGGCUGGCUACCGUCGCCGCCGUGGCAUACUUCGUUUGGAGGAUUACAGGGCCACGAGACUGA